rnacentral:lncRNA from 1 species
CCUCCCACCCCUGCAUGUUGAACACCUGCCAGCAGAGUGACAUGGCUCCUCAGUACCCUGUCAUCUUGCCCAGGUUUCCGCUGGAACCAGGCAGAAUCGUACCGGAGGAACCAUCCAGAUAGAUGUCACAAGCUGCACCUCAGGCCAAAUACAGCUGUUGAGUGAAAGUCCAGUGAGGAAGGGGAGGGAGGCCUGGGAGUGUUAGCAACCUCAGAGGGACGCUGCUGCAGUGGCUUGGUCCAGGAUGUCCAGCCCUGAACCCUCAAGGGUCUACGUGCUCCUGCAUCUGCUAAAUCCUCCACCUGUGACCACUCUGGAGCUGAGACUCCUCCUGGAUGACCCUCCUCUCUGCUUCUGACCUGGAUGGAUGGAGCAACAAUGUCCUCUGAUCCUUCUGCUGCUGCCGAUGAUGUUGAGUGUCACAUAUAAUUUCAGCUCACAGACCACUGGUCAGUCUGGUCACAUGGCCCCACAGAGUCACAAGGAAGCUGGGAAAUAUGGGAGCACAUGAAUUCAAUAAGAAGAAAACGUCUCUGCUACAGAAUGAAGCUGCAUCACUAAAGGUCUAAUAUCCAACCUGAAGAAGCUGAUGGUUCUUUUCAGCGACACCACUCUCAAGCCAUCUCUGGAGCCCUCUAGCUCUGGGUGUUGCAUUUUCAGAGACUCCCAGACACUUCGGAUUCCCAACAAAAGAGGGGACCAAGUUGAAAAAGGGACUUGAAAUCUAGCCAUGUGAGGAAGAGUUGAAAAGAUGUUUGUCCUGGAAGAGGAGAGGUCCCAGAUAUCUAAUUUCAGAUUCUUAAAGGGCUGUCACGGACUAAAAGAAUGAAACUACUCUGUGGGGCUCCAUGGGGCAGAGCCGAGACCAGUGGAAGUUACAUGGACAAUUCCAAGGGGGACAGUCAGAGCUGAGCACUUUUGAAAAGACAGCCUCAGGAGAGAGUGAAUUCCUUGGCCCAAGAAUAUGCACACAGAGUCCAGAAAGCCAUUUGGUUUGGAUGUCGUGGAAGAAUUUAGGUAUCUGAUGGAGUUGAAAUAGACGUCCAGCGACAGUCCUCACAGACAGAGCUGAGACAGCAGGAGUAGGGAUCACAGCUCAUCAGACUGUAAGCUUGGUAUCAUGAGACAUUGCAGAGGAUCUGGACCCUCAGAGCCCCUGUUAGUCAGGUUAGGCCAGGUUUUGCUACAGUUACAGCAGCAAAAACGAA